rnacentral:rRNA from 1 species
AGACUACUUAGUGGCGGACGGGUGAGUAACGCGUGAGCAAUCUGCCCUUAAGAGGGGGACAACAGUUGGAAACGACUGCUAAUACCGCAUAAAGUAUCUUUACCGCAUGGUUUAGAUACCAAAGGAGAAAUCCGCUUUUGGAUGAGCUCGCGUCUGAUUAGCUAGUUGGUAGGGUAACGGCCUACCAGGGCGACGAUCAGUAGCCGGACUGAGAGGUUGAACGGCCACAUUGGGACUGAGAUACGGCCCAGACUCCUACGGGAGGCAGCAGUGGGGAAUAUUGCACAAUGGGGGAAACCCUGAUGCAGCAACGCCGCGUGAAGGAAGACGGUCUUCGGAUUGUAAACUUCUUUUCUGAAGGACGAUAGUGACGGUACUUCAGGAAUAAGCCACGGCUAACUACGUGCCAGCAGCCGCGGUAAUACGUAGGUGGCAAGCGUUAUCCGGAUUUACUGGGUGUAAAGGGCGUGUAGGCGGGACUGCAAGUCAGAAGUGAAAACUAUGGGCUCAACCCAUAGACUGCUUUUGAAACUGUAGUUCUUGAGUGAUGGAGAGGCAGGCGGAAUUCCCGGUGUAGCGGUGAAAUGCGUAGAUAUCGGGAGGAACACCAGUGGCGAAGGCGGCCUGCUGGACAUUAACUGACGCUGAGGAGCGAAAGCAUGGGGAGCGAACAGGAUUAGAUACCCUGGUAGUCCAUGCCGUAAACGUUGGGCACUAGGUGUGGGGGACAUUCCACGUUUUCCGCGCCGUAGCUAACGCAUUAAGUGCCCCGCCUGGGGAGUACGGCCGCAAGGCUAAAACUCAAAGGAAUUGACGGGGGGCCGCACAAGCGGCGGAGCAUGCGGAUUAAUUCGAUGCAACGCGAAGAACCUUACCAAGGCUUGACAUGAACCGGAAAGGCCUGGAAACAGGUCCCCCACUUGUGGCCGGUUUACAGGUGGUGCAUGGUUGUCGUCAGCUCGUGUCGUGAGAUGUUGGGUUAAGUCCCGCAACGAGCGCAACCCUCGUUCUAUGUUGCCAGCGGGUUAUGCCGGGGACUCAUAGGAGACUGCCGGGGUCAACUCGGAGGAAGGUGGGGACGACGUCAAAUCAUCAUGCCCCUUAUGUCUUGGGCUUCACGCAUGCUACAAUGGCCGGUACAAAGGGUUGCGAUACUGUGAGGUGGAGCUAAUCCCAAAAAGCCGGUCUCAGUUCGGAUUGAGGUCUGCAACUCGACCUCAUGAAGUUGGAGUCGCUAGUAAUCGCAGAUCAGCAACGCUGCGGUGAAUACGUUCCCGGGCCUUGCACACACCGCCCGUCA